GCCCUAGUAACGGCGAGUGAAGCGGCAACAGCUCAAAUUUGAAAUCUGGCCCUCGGGUCCGAGUUGUAAUUUGUAGAGGAUGCUUUUGGCGCGGUGCCUUCCGAGUUCCCUGGAACGGGACGCCUUAGAGGGUGAGAGCCCCGUACGGUUGGACACCAAGCCUCUGUAAAGCUCCUUCGACGAGUCGAGUAGUUUGGGAAUGCUGCUCUAAAUGGGAGGUAAAUUUCUUCUAAAGCUAAAUAUUGGCCAGAGACCGAUAGCGCACAAGUAGAGUGAUCGAAAGAUGAAAAGCACUUUGAAAAGAGGGUUAAAUAGCACGUGAAAUUGUUGAAAGGGAAGCGUUUGCGACCAGACCUUUUCCUAGCGGAUCAUCCGGUGUUCUCACCGGUGCACUUCGCUGGGUUUAGGCCAGCAUCGGUUUCCGUAGGGGGAUAAAAGCCCUGGGAACGUAGCUCCCUCGGGAGUGUUAUAGCCCUCUGCAUAAUACCCUUACGGGGACCGAGGACCGCGCUUCGGCAAGGAUGCUGGGCGUAAUGGUCGUCAACGAC
rnacentral:rRNA from 2 species